UGGGCAGGUUGAAGGUUGGGUAACACUAACUGGAGGACCGAACCGACUAAUGUUGAAAAAUUAGCGGAUGACUUGUGGCUGGGGGUGAAAGGCCAAUCAAACCGGGAGAUAGCUGGUUCUCCCCGAAAGCUAUUUAGGUAGCGCCUCGUGAACUCAUCUUCGGGGGUAGAGCACUGUUUCGGCUAGGGGGUCAUCCCGACUUACCAACCCGAUGCAAACUACGAAUACCGAAGAAUGUUAUCACGGGAGACACACGGCGGGUGCUAACGUCCGUCGUGAAGAGGGAAACAACCCAGACCGCCAGCUAAGGUCCCAAAGUCAUGGUUAAGUGGGAAACGAUGUGGGAAGGCACAGACAGCCAGGAUGUUGGCUUAGAAGCAGCCAUCAUUUAAAGAAAGCGUAAUAGCUCACUGGUCGAGUCGGCCUGCGCGGAAGAUGUAACGGGGCUCAAACCAUACACCGAAGCUACGGGUAUCACGUAAGUGAUGCGGUAGGGGAGCGUUCUGUAAGCCUGCGAAGGUGUGCUGUGAGGCAUGCUGGAGGUAUCAGAAGUGGGAAU
rnacentral:rRNA from 1 species